ACUCCUACGGGAGGCAGCAGUGGGAAUAUUGGACAAUGGGCGCAAGCCUGAUCCAGCCAUGCCGCGUGAGUGAUGAAGGCCCUAGGGUUGUAAAGCUCUUUCACCGGUGAAGAUAAUGACGGUAACCGGAGAAGAAGCCCGCUAACUUCGUGCCAGCAGCCGCGGGUAAUACGAAGGGGCGUAGCGUUGUUCGGAUUUACUGGGCGUAAAGCGCACGUAGGCGGACUUUUAAGUCAGGGGUGAAAUCCCGGGGCUCAA
rnacentral:rRNA from 1 species